GUGGCGGACGGGUGAGGAACGCGUAGGGAUGUGUCCAGGGGUGGGGGAUAACGUUGGGAAACUGACGCUAAUACCGCAUGUCUGCUGAGGCAGAAAGCCGAGAGGCGCCUUUGGAGCAACCUGCGUCCGAUUAGGUAGUUGGUGGGGUAAUGGCCUACCAAGCCUGCGAUCGGUAGCUGGUCUGAGAGGACGACCAGCCACACUGGGACUGAGACACGGCCCAGACUCCUACGGGAGGCAGCAGUAGGGAAUAUUGGACAAUGGGCGCAAGCCUGAUCCAGCAAUGCCGCGUGAGUGAUGAAGGCCUUAGGGUUGUAAAGCUCUUUUACCCGAGAUGAUAAUGACAGUAUCGGGAGAAUAAGCCCCGGCUAACUCCGUGCCAGCAGCCGCGGUAAUACGGAGGGGGCUAGCGUUGUUCGGAAUUACUGGGCGUAAAGCGCACGUAGGCGGCGAUUUAAGUCAGGGGUGAAAGCCCAGUGCUCAACACUGGAACUGCCCUUGAGACUGGAUUGCUUGAAUCCGGGAGAGGUGAGUGGAAUUCCGAGUGUAGAGGUGAAAUUCGUAGAUAUUCGGAAGAACACCAGUGGCGAAGGCGGCUCACUGGACCGGCAUUGACGCUGAGGUGCGAAAGCGCGGGGAGCAAACAGGAUUAGAUACCCUGGUAGUCCAC
rnacentral:rRNA from 1 species